AUUGAACGCCGGCGGCAUGCCUUACACAUGCAAGUCGAACGGCAGCACGGGAGCAAUCCUGGUGGCGAGUGGCGAACGGGUGAGUAAAGUAUCGGAACGUGCCCAGUCGUGGGGGAUAACGUAGCGAAAGUUACGCUAAUACCGCAUACGAUCUAUAGAUGAAAGCGGGGGAUCGCAAGACCUCGCGCGAUUGGAGCGGCCGAUAUCAGAUUAGGUAGUUGGUGGGGUAAAGGCUCACCAAGCCGACGAUCUGUAGCUGGUCUGAGAGGACGACCAGCCACACUGGGACUGAGACACGGCCCAGACUCCUACGGGAGGAAGCAGUGGGGAAUUUUGGACAAUGGGCGCAAGCCUGAUCCAGCCAUGCCGCGUGCAGGAUGAAGGCCUUCGGGUUGUAAACUGCUUUUGUACGGAACGAAAAGGUUUGGCUUAAUACGUUGAACUCAUGACGGUACCGUAAGAAUAAGCACCGGCUAACUACGUGCCAGCAGCCGCCGUAA
rnacentral:rRNA from 1 species